UACGUAGGCAGCAAGCGUUGUUCGGAGUUACUGGGCGUAAAGGGUGUGUAGGCGGUUCUCUAAGUUUGGUGUGAAAUCUCCCGGCUCAACUGGGAGGGUGCGCCGAAAACUGGAGGGCUAGAGUACUGGAUGGGAGAGUGGAAUUCCUGGUGUAGCGGUGAAAUGCUUAGAUAUCGUCAAGAACACCUAUUGCGAAGGCAGCUAACUAAGCUUAAACUGACGCUGAGGCACGAAAGUGUGGGGAUCAAACAGG
rnacentral:rRNA from 1 species